UUCCCAAGUGUUAUCUAUUUAAUUGACUGAAACAUAUUCUUGUUAUGUAUGCUGAACUAUCUAAUAUACUGUGGAUUCAUUAAUAUUCGUUGGAUACCAAUUUUCUUGGGUUUCAUGGGUACUGGUGAACCACAAAUUCAAUUGUCCAACGAAUAGCAUAUUUUGAAUAGGCUUUGAAUACAGUGAUUGACCAAACCACGAAAUCAAACAUCCCCGAAUAUGCAGGUUUUCAGCAAUCCACGAAAUUUGAUAUCCACGAAAAUAAAUGAAUCUACAGUAUUCAUAGAAUAUAUUUCCAAUGAUUAUUUGAAUACAAAUUAACAUAUAUCUUAUGCUUUUCAUAUGCUAUAGUAAGUAAUUUAACAGGUACAGGGUUAUUUAUAUAUACCAACUUAAUUACAUGUAAAAAAGUAUCAACCCUUUUUUUGUGACAUCUCAAAAGACUACUUCUAACAAAUAUCACCUAGCAUAUUGAUUUCUGCCGAAAUUUUCUUUUCUAACAUCACAUCAUUUUCAUUUUUCUUAUUUGAUUUGCUUACUCAUAAAACUUCUUUCAAUGAUAUUCCAAUUUGUAAAUUCUUUACAUGUAUUUUAUAAAAGUCUUAAAUGAAGAAAAGUAAUAAUUAUCCACAACUUAAAAAAAAGUAUUUUUGAUUAUUACAUGAAAACAUGAAUAAAAAAUUGAUGAUAUUUUUACUUUUG
rnacentral:lncRNA from 1 species